UACGGAGGGGGCUAGCGUUGUUCGGAAUUACUGGGCGUAAAGCGCACGUAGGCGGUCUUUUAAGUCAGAGGUGAAAGCCCGGGGCUCAACUCCGGAAUUGCCUUUGAAACUGGGAGACUUGAACACGGGAGAGGUGAGUGGAAUUCCGAGUGUAGAGGUGAAAUUCGUAGAUAUUCGGAGGAACACCAGUGGCGAAGGCGGCUCACUGGACCGUUGUUGACGCUGAGGUGCGAAAGCGUGGGGAGCAAACAGG
rnacentral:rRNA from 1 species